AUUGGCUGUGGGGAGGAGCUUCCGUCCUCUGUUGACUCUCUUAUCUUUUCCACAGAUCGUUGGAAAUCGGAUUUUUAAGUGGAAAUAACAUGAAAAACAAAAGAGGGAGAUGUUAUCAACAUAAUUGGCACUGACAAUAUAUACAACCCAAUGAGCACUUGGCUAAGAAAUUACUUGGGAUUCUUAGGACCAAAUGAUUUAAAGUUAUUGCCAAAACAAGUGAAAAGUGUUCCCUUCGGGAGCUGAGCAUCCGCGGUCUCCACAGACCUUUACUGCCAUUAGUUGAUUAAUUAAUUCAUUAACACUCAUAGAGUACAGGGUAUUGACUCCAUAUGGCACUGAACAGGCAGUUGGAUUUCUCCAGAAAAUUUCUCAUAGACGAAAGCACAGAAACAGUAAAUAAUUAAGCUCUGAGCGGCUUGGUUGUAAUCUUUUAUUGAUCAAGGCAAAGAUUUGAGAGCAGGAAGGCUUCAGGCGCUCUCUCCAACCUGACUCUCUUUGCCCCGUGAUGACAUGUUACCGUGAGACACUUGUUCUUAUUAUAAAGCCUUUAAGGAAGAAAACAAGCAGGCAACAUGUUUAUGGCCAGAGUUACUCCUGUCCAAGGUUAAUCGUCCCUGCCAUGAAGACUGAGCAUUUUCUGGUGGGUUCCCAGGAGGUCAUAGAAGUGAGAUGACAACUGUGUUGCCUGCCUCCUUCUCGGCCCUGCUUUUGUUAAGCUUUCUCCCCCUAAUAAAGCUAUUAAGCCAAUGACUUAUGACCGUGUAGCUCAGUGAGAUCUCCAGGGAGUGAAGGUGGAGGCCAAACAGAAGUGCUUGAGCAUGGAUCAAUGACAGAGAAAGUGGCCGGAGCCUUCUGCCAGGUGGAAUUUUUGUUGCUUCCCUCCAAGGACACCAAAUUGGUUGCUGCAGCCCUAGAUCGUGCUCAGCACUUUACUACCGUUUUUAUCCUCUGGGUCUCCAAAGAGAUCCAGUGGGAGGGAGAUGGGGGAGGGAGGACGGAAGAGGAUGGACAGCUGUCUCUUGUGCUAAGCCUUCCCCAGUCUCAUCCUGCUACGGUUCACACUGCUCCUGCCUGGUUGGUCCUCAGUCACUGCCCUCCCUCUUCUCAGCAAAGCUUCUUGAAGAAGGAAUGAGCUCCACUCGCUAUGUCUAUAGUUUCAUCUCCUAGACACAUCCCAGUCUGGAUUUUCCUGCAUCCCUCGUAGCUGCUCUUUGGUCCCAAGGUCAUUGUGCAUCUCUGAAGGUGUACCUCAACAAUAUCGUGGCAAACUACAGAUGGGCCAAGCCGGGAGGAAAACCAAUGACUCUUAAACCCAGGGUGCCAUGGAGACCCUCUAUAGUCCAGGACAGCAUGCGGUUUGCAGCUUGCCUUAUUAUAGAUGCUCUGUGAAUUCUUCCUGGACAUCCGGUCCCUUCUCUCACGGGUCCUCAGAACUUCUGCCAGAUGAGGUUUCUGUCCUAAGUGGGGGAAAUCUGCCUCAGGUUAUCUGAGGGCAGAGGCCGUGUGGACUCAGGCCUCUGUGCAACCAAGCUCCUCUAGGAGAGCCCAUCCUCACCCUGGGCAGAAUGCUGGGCUUCAUUCAUAUUCAUCGUCACUUGGAGCUGCACCUUUUCUCCAGUCUGUGCAGGGAUGUGCAUCACCAUGGCAACGCUAGAGGUGAAAUCACUCAAGUGUUGGCAAGCAGGGUUUCUCUCUGGAGCUUGGAAAAAUGGAGAGCAGGCUUGUGGUGUCACAGAAAGGAAGAUGCCCUUAGAAGAACCCAAGCAUUCUCUAUUCCAUUUGGGGACUUUCCCUUUAAAUAAAAACUGAACAGUAAAUGGAAAGAGAAAUGUUUUUAGUCUCUGGAUCUGCUACCCCAGUGAGCCUACUUGGAACGGACACGCUGAUCCUUCUGGCUUUCCUAACCUGCUGUACCUUGUAGACUGUUCUGCCUGGAGUUACUAUUUUAAAGUAAUGAAGCUGGGGCCCACAAGUGUGAUGUUUGUGCCUGUUGGCCAAUUUCUGGCUCUUUGUCUAAUUUGGGGGACUAGAAGAUAUUUGCUAAAUAACUAUUUGACAGGCUACUGGUGGCUAAGGGCAAUGAGGACAUGCUCACACACCCAAGGGGUCUUGAGAUAAGCUGUUUCAGUACCUGCUCGAGGCAGCUUGCCCUGAGACUUCUGAGUACAUGCAGCAGCCCCUGGAAAUGAUUUUGACAGCAUUGCCUUUGGGCAGGAAUGAUGAGGAGGAGAAAGGAGCCCAUUCAACAUAAACUCAUCAAAUGCUUGACUCAAUGAUGAAGUCAGUGCCUUCUUCAUCCAAUGGUACCUCUGACUGGGGAUCAAGUCUUCAACAGGCCAGUCUCUUGAGGGAGGACUCUUCCCAUCCAAAUCCUAUCAGCCUCCAAGGAGUGAGCCCCCGGACUGAUAGAAUUGCUCUGGAAAACUGCCUGGCAUUCUCAAGGAGAGGCAGUCUCUUUCUGGGGAGGCAGCUCCAGGCAGCAUCCCCUCCUGGGCCAUAGCUAAGCGAGAAAAAUCUGAGCACUUUUCUCAUCAAGCUCAAAUCAACUGCGGGAAGCCUCAGAGGGGCCUUCUCUGUGCUUUCCUAGUCAUCUCCAUCUCGACAGUCCUACAGGUUCUGAACGUUAAUCAGUGUCAUCGCGAGUCUGCUGAUGUUACGGAGAACUUAAUUGGUUCUUUGGAGGAAAAUGAGUCACCAUCAGGAGAAUAAGCUGCAGGGCAGGAACACACAAGGGGAAAGGGAAAUGAAACUGUACGCGGAAAAGAUCAAGUGUGCCCUUAUGCUUCUCCUAGGCUGCAGUCCCAGAUGAGCCCACUUUUGCUGAUGGGGCUUAAAGAGGUUUUCAGAACCACGAAGACAAAAGGUAUUGCCUUCUCCUACCCCCAUCGCCUUUGUUUCCCUCUCUCCUUUUCUGCAUGUGCAGCCAUAUCCAGUGGAGGGGGAAGGGGACAGACCGUCCGCCUGACUGUCAGAGUUGAUCAUUGCUGACCUUAUCAAAACACAGAAUCAAUACUCUCUCCUCCCAGCAGUCCAGAAAAAAAUCAUAAGGAGUUUGAACUGAAGCAAUUUGAAGUGCAGAAUUGCAUGAAUCAGGAGACAAGGCAGUAAACUGUUGGGCCUCUGAAUCCUUCCAAGCCCUUCCUAAGAGUCAGGCAAGACCAAUAACAUCACUUGAAAUAACUGUUUCUGGGUGGAGAGGGAUCCAAAGAAGCUUUUGAUAACCAAGCCCACCUCCUGGAGAAAUGGUUUUUUAGGUUUGUGGUAGCAGGGUGCUUUUGAAAGAAGCCUGAAGGAGGGUGGGACUAGAGGCUGGGACCAUGGUCCUCACCUUCCUCAGGACCACUCAGUAGAACCUUUCCAGGCCUGGCCCUGGACAACUCUAUGGCCUUUUACAUUUGGAAUUCCAAGCUGGGUCACACCUCCUUCCCAUUUCUUUGUUCUUUUAAAAAAUAUUUUCUCCAGAUUUACUUUUUCUUUCCUUUUGAGUUUUUGCUCCCUCCAUCUUCUUCCUCCUCCUCUUCCUCCUCCUCCUCUUCCACCUCCUCCUCUUCUUCCUCUUCCUCCUUCUCCUAUUCUCUUUCUUUUUCUCAGAAGAGCUAAGACUGGAAAUGGAUUACACGCCUGACACCCUAGCUAUUGAGAGGCUCUUGGCAGAUGAUAUUGAGUUCCUGGCAGGUGGGAUUACACAGUGAGGUCCUAUCGCAAAACAAACAAACAAACAAACAAACAAACAAACAAACA